CACCCAUGAUGACCCGCCAUGCUAAUACCGAGGCACCGAAUCGAGCCUUUUGCUCUGAAUCGGGUGUCAGUGAGUUAAGCUUGCUUCUCACAAGAAGACCUGAGGUGC